CCAGUCAUUUAUUGAGGUUAUGUCAUUCAUUACUGAUUGAUUACUGAUUUUCUCGGAUUUUCUGAAUUAUUUGGAGUUCAUAAAAUGGAUUCAAAUUAUUUAAAAAUUACUUUUACCGAACAGGAGCAGCGUGAUUUAAAUAACAAUUGUAUAAAUUCAUUUCAAUACCGAAGUAAGCCCUUUAUAAAUAGCGAUUUAUAUUUAACAACAAUAGAAGAUAUAAAACGCUUGACGACUGAUACCGAAGUGAAAACUGUGUACCAGUAUGAUCUAUCACGAAAGGACAUUGAAUACCAAUUUAAGCCUGGAGACACUAUCGGAAUUUUACCACCAAAUAAUGAGGAAGAAGUGAAUAGGCUUUUAUUAAGAACAAACAACUAAGAAAAAUCCAUCGAUUCCUAAACAUGUUCCAGAAAAUUCAACAUUAUAUUCUAUUUUUCUUAAUAAUAUUGAUAUUAGACUUCCUCCAAAAAAGGUAUUUCUCAAAAGUCUUAUUAAAUAUACUACAGAUACAAAAGAACUAGAAUUAUUGGAAAAGAUAUGUUCAUCAUCCUCUGAUUACAUGGAGUUCUUGUACAGUCAUAAAACACUUCUGUCUUUGUUUAACGCAUUUCCUUCGUGCUUUCCACCAGUUGAGAUAAUUUUACAGCACUCUAGUCCUUUGCAUCCUCGAUACUUCUCGAUAGC
rnacentral:misc_RNA from 1 species